rnacentral:lncRNA from 1 species
AUUAUGAUGACGACAAUGACGAUAGUGGCAAUCAUUUAUUAAGCAUUGCCCUGGCCUAAGGCACCACAUGGGUCAUUUCUUCCAGGCUCCAACUUGCUUCUGCUUUGCCAUAUGGUAACACGCCGUAUUAUGGAAGAACCAUCAUUACCGCCAUCUGCAGGGGAAGCCUAAAGAGGUGAUUUGAUAGUGUGGUUUCGGAUUACAGCCUGGCUUCCUGGGGUGAUCCAUCACAAGAAUAAAGAGUAUUGAUAAGGCCAAUGGGUGCACUUCCAGGUGCAAAUAAACAGCAUUGCAUCCAGUGGCUAUGCGUUGCAAGAAGCCAAGGGAGAAAGAGGAAAAAAAAAGACGACAACAACAACAUUAC